GGGUCAGUAGGUUGGUCGUGCCACCGGUACGUACUGGUCUCACUGAUUCCUCCUUCCUGAAGAACCUUAAUUCCAUUAAUUUGGUGUUGCGGGGAAACAGGACUGUUACUUUGAAAAAAUUAGAGUGUUUAAAGCAAGCUAACGCUUGAAUACAUUGGCAUGGAAUAAUGAAAUAGGACGAUCGAUCCUAUUUUGUUGGUUUCUAGGAUUGACGUA
rnacentral:rRNA from 1 species